rnacentral:lncRNA from 1 species
UAUGGAUUUUAUUGAUGUGCCACUUGCCUUUAAAUCAUGGGUUGUGUGAAUAAGCAAAAUAGGUGCAGCCGCAAAAUGAUUAAGGGAGAAUUGGACUUUGGCCAAGAAACUUUUUUUUUUUACCCGAGAGUUACAAAGAAGGAGGUCUUGCACAUCUUAUGAACGAGGAAUGAUGGCAGAACAAAGGAAUGGAGGAGGUAUCACACUUUUGAAAAGAAGGGGAUUUCACGUUUUUGGAAAAGGGAAAAAGGGCACCGCACAUCACACUUUUGGUGGAGAUUUGAUUUCCUAGAGAGAUGACAUUUCUAUAGAGAAACACAAAGCAAGAUGUUAGGAGUAGAUUCAACCCAAGAUUUGUUGAGACAUCAUGAGUCUAGGCAUGAAAUCUUCAUCUUUCUUUCAUCCUUUGCCAAGCUUGUAUAGACAUAUGUAGCUACAUCUAACAUUGUGGGUUUUGAGGUAUUCAAACAAACCAUGAUGUAAACUCUUGAUCUUCUAAUAUAUGGUUCUAGCUUAUUUAUUCAAUAUUGUUGUUAUUCUUGCAUUUAAUGCUUUAUUGAGAUUCAAAAUGAUAUUGACAAAUACUUUUGAAUCUAAGAAAU